UACGUAGGGUGCGAGCGUUGUCCGGAAUUAUUGGGCGUAAAGAGCUCGUAGGCGGUCUGUUGCGUCUGCUGUGAAAACUCGGGGCUUAACCCCGAGCCUGCAGUGGAUACGGGCAGACUAGAGGUAGGUAGGGGAGACUGGAAUUCCUGGUGUAGCGGUGAAAUGCGCAGAUAUCAGGAGGAACACCGGUGGCGAAGGCGGGUCUCUGGGCCGAUACUGACGCUGAGGAGCGAAAGCGUGGGGAGCGAACAGG
rnacentral:rRNA from 1 species